rnacentral:rRNA from 1 species
CUACGGGAGGCAGCAGUGGGGAAUAUUGGACAAUGGGGGAAACCCUGAUCCAGCAAUGCCGCGUGUGUGAAGAAGGCCUGCGGGUUGUAAAGCACUUUCGGUUGGGAGGACUGCUUCUAGCACUAAUAUUGCUGGAAGUUGACGUUACCUUCAGAAGAAGCACCGGCUAACUCCGUGCCAGCAGCCGCGGUAAUACGGGAGGGUGCAAGCGUUAAUCGGAAUUACUGGGCGUAAAGCGCGCGUAGGCGGCUAGAUCAGUCGGGUGUGAAAGCCCCGGGCUUAACCUGGGAACUGCAUCCGAUACUGUCUAGCUUGAGUACAGGAGAGGAGAGUGGAAUUCCACAUGUAGCGGCGAAAUGCGUAGAUAUGUGGAGGAACACCAAUGGCGAAGGCAGCUCUCUGGCCUGAUACUGACGCUGAGGUGCGAAAGCGUGGGGAGCAAACAGGAUUAGAUACCCGGGUAGUC